rnacentral:lncRNA from 1 species
CUGGGUUCUUCUGGAUAUAUGCUGAACAGAGAGAUGCAUUUUACCUCUGGGAGGUUUGGAGAGCAGGGGAAGAAAGCAAAAUUUGCUUACUUGAGAUCCUGAGGUGCCUGACUAGACCUUAAGAUGAAAAUGAUGAUAGAACUGGGACAUGCCUACACUGGGCAGGAAGGUGUGGUGCAGAAAUCCCCAGACGAACGCUGAACAAUCUAGCUCCAGACCUUGAACCAAAACAGCCAUGCAUGGAGCAAGCUUCAGCGAGCUCAGGACCAGCCCUGUGACAAUGCUGCUGAACCACCAGCUUCCCAGCUGGCCACCAUGCAGUGCUGUGGUGUUUGGAUGAUGCUGGGAUUCAAGGAUUCAAGUCAACCAGCAGCACAGAUCAUAAGAAACUGAUGAAGACAAACUGUGAGAAGAAGGUUCUUUUGCCCUACUGGCAGCUGACUCUGGUUGGACAUCAAAAAUUGGCUGACUUGUGUGCUUCCUUAAUUUUUUCCCCUCAUGUUUGAUAUUUUCAGCCUAUGUGACAAAGAAGAACAAGGCAUGUCUGAGUCACAUUAAUGCCCACUACACAUCCUUGGUAUACCACAGCAAGAGGCACAGAAAAGCUGGUUGGACUUCAUUCCUCUAAUCAAAUGUCAGAAAUGUUGUUAAAUGGAAGAUGACAAGAUCACCAGCUCAGCAGGAACAAGUCUGCAGAGAAACAAAAGCAUGAGGCUGUACUGUGUCUGCCUGUGGAGACACGAGGAUUUUUCAGAUGUAUCCUAGAAGCUGGGGGACGGAUGAAGGAGCCCAUGCACUUUAGUUAUGGGGAAUGGUUGGAUGUGAUAACAGGCAGCAAACAAGCUCUGGUUCUAACUUCCAGUGCUUCAUGAUUGCCAGCACAAACUGAUAGAGCAAGGAUAGGAAGUCACCAGAGCAGAGAUCUGGCUGCUGUUGUUUCAAGAGCUAUGGAAGCAGCUGUGGCCUGGGG